GACGAACGCUGGCGGCGUGCCUAAUACAUGCAAGUAGAACGCUGAAGGAGGAGCUUGCUUCUCUGGAUGAGUUGCGAACGGGUGAGUAACGCGUAGGUAACCUGCCUGGUAGCGGGGGAUAACUAUUGGAAACGAUAGCUAAUACCGCAUAAUAGCAGUUAUUGCAUGAUAACUGUUUGAAAGGUGCAAAUGCAUCACUACCAGAUGGACCUGCGUUGUAUUAGCUAGUUGGUGGGGUAACGGCUCACCAAGGCGACGAUACAUAGCCGACCUGAGAGGGUGAUCGGCCACACUGGGACUGAGACACGGCCCAGACUCCUACGGGAGGCAGCAGUAGGGAAUCUUCGGCAAUGGACGGAAGUCUGACCGAGCAACGCCGCGUGAGUGAAGAAGGUUUUCGGAUCGUAAAGCUCUGUUGUAAGAGAAGAACGAGUGUGAGAGUGGAAA
rnacentral:rRNA from 1 species